AGAGUUUGAUCCUGGCUCAGGACGAACGCUGGCGGCGUGCCUAACACAUGCAAGUCACGGGGGCCCGCAAGGGCAACCGGCGAACGGGUGCGUAACACGUGAGCAAUCUGCCGAUUUCUGGGGGAUAGCCGGUCCAACGACCGGGUAAUACCGCAUACGCUCAUUGGGGGACAUCCCCUGAUGAGGAAACCUCCGGGGGAAAUCGAGGAGCUCGCGGCCUAUCAGCUAGUUGGUGCGGUAACGGCGCACCAAGGCGACGACGGGUAGCUGGUCUGAGAGGAUGGCCAGCCACAUUGGGACUGCGACACGGCCCAGACUCCUACGGGAGGCAGCAGUGGGGAAUAUUGCGCAAUGGACGAAAGUCUGACGCAGCGACGCCGCGUGUGGGAUGAAGCUCUUCGGGGUGUAAACCACUGUUGCUCGGGACGAACCUCCCC
rnacentral:rRNA from 1 species